rnacentral:tRNA from 1 species
GGAGAGGUGGCCGAGCGGUUGAAGGCGCAGCACUGGAAAUGCUGUAACGCGGCAACGUGUUCGAGGGUUCGAAUCCCUCCCUCUCCG